AUUGAACGCUGGCGGCAGGCCUAACACCUGCAAGUCGAGCGAGCGGCGGACGGGUGAGUAAUGUCUGGGAAAAUGCCUGAUGGAGGGGGAUCACUACUGGAAACGGUAGAUAAUACCGCAUACCAUCAGAUGUGCCCAGAUGGGAUUAGCUAGUAGGGGGGGGAACGGCUCACCUCGGCGACGAUCCCUAGCUGGUCUGAGAGGAUGACCAGCAACACGGGAACUGAGACACGGUCCAGACUCCUACGGGAGGCAGCAGGGGGGAAGAUUGCACAAUGGGCGCAAGCCUGAUGCAGCCAUGCCGCGUGUGUGAAGAAGGCCUUCGGGUUGUAAAGCACUUUCAGCGGGGAGGCGUUACCCGCAGAAGAAGCACCGGCUAACUACGUGCCAGCAGCCGCGGUAAUUC
rnacentral:rRNA from 1 species